rnacentral:rRNA from 1 species
GUCGAACGGACAGGUAAUGAAACCUAGUGAUUUAUCUGUUAGUGCCGUACGGGUGAGUAACGCGUGGGUAACCUGCCGUAUACAGGGGGAUAACACUUAGAAAUAGGUGCUAAAACCGCGUAAGCGCACAGGAUCGCAUGGUCUGGUGUGAAAAACUCCGGUGGUAUACGAUGGACCCGCGUCUGAUUAGCUUGUUGGUGGGGUAGAGGCCCACCAAGGCGACGAUCAGUAGCCGGCCUGAGAGGGUGAACGGCCACAUUGGGACUGAGACACGGCCCAAACUCCUACGGGAGGCAGCAGUGGGGAAUAUUGCACAAUGGGGGAAACCCUGAUGCAGCGACGCCGCGUGAGUGAAGAAGUAUUUCGGUAUGUAAAGCUCUAUCAGCAGGAAAGAAAAUGACGGUACCUGACUAAGAAGCCCCGGCUAACUACGUGCCAGCAGCCGCGGUAAUACGUAGGGGGCAAGCGUUAUCCGGAUUUACUGGGUGUAAAGGGAGCGUAGACGGUGAAGCAAGUCUGAAGUGAAAGGCGGGGGCUCAACCCCCGGACUGCUUUGGAAACUGUUUGACUGGAGUGCAGGAGAGGUAAGUGGAAUUCCUAGUGUAGCGGUGAAAUGCGUAGAUAUUAGGAGGAACACCAGUGGCGAAGGCGGCUUACUGGACUGUAACUGACGUUGAGGCUCGAAAGCGUGGGGAGCAAACAGGAUUAGAUACCCUGGUAGUCCACGCGGUAAACGAUGAUCACUAGGUGUCGGUGAGUAUAGACUCAUCGGUGCCGUCGCAAACGCAGUAAGUGAUCCACCUGGGGAGUACG